AUUUUCAAAGUCCAUUGAGAUAUUGCUUUGAUAUUUUGCAUACUUGUUUACCAUUAUGACCCCAGUCUGUAAAAAGGAGGAGGCAACUCUAUCAAGCAUUUUGACUGAAUUAUGGCCCUUUUUCGACUUAGAAUAUGCUUAUUGUAAUGUUAUAGUUUUACUCAUAGCUUAUAUUAUACUAUCAAGCACUGAAAAUAGUUGAGCGCGCUGUCCACUAACAGCUCUUGUUUAUUACUGUUGUUGUACAUCUAUUUUUAAUGUCAUUUGUUGGCUUGUGUUUUCAGGACAAGAUGUUACAGCCAGUGUAUGAAGACUAAACUUUUUGUACGGUCACAGGUGCUCUUGCAAAGACUGAUGGCUUGGCAGCAUAAACUAUUCUAUGGUUAUAGGGGUAAUGUCUUUAAACAGAAGCAUGCUGUUGUGGCGUGAAAGUGCACAAACCAUUGAUAACCCUUUGGAGAAUCAGUACCAGGUGUGGCAAGAAGUUUGAAAUCAAAGUCACAAGAAGUUGUUUGAUGAUGGAAGUAUCUGUGAUCAUUUAGUAUUUCCAGUGGUUCAGAGGAACAGAUUACACCCAGUUAAAACUAAAUGUGAUAUUUAUCUUUGUGAAUGAACGAGGACUUAAUGAGGAUAAAAUGUUAAGAAGACAAACCUGAUGCAGCAACAAUUUUGUGACAGUAUCAGUGUAAUAUUUAACCAUGUACAACUGUUUUUCAUUAUAAAUGCAGUAAAAGGUAAUACAAUGUUGAAACUGCUUUACACUUUUUAUGCGAGGGAAUAUGUUGUAUAUGGUCACUAUAGAUGUUUUUCCAUUUGAUGAAAUGAUAUUGUGGGUGAACCGGUGAAGAAUAUAUUGACCAAAUCUGUCAUGUUGACCAUAAUGUUCCGUGCAACCUUUAUUGUACAAAAAGUAGAUUUGUUAUAGCACCAAAUAAUAGUGAGAUUGGAAGGCCAGUGUGCAAAUCACUGAGCUACCCGCCCACCACCAUUAGAUAUAUUAAGGCAAAAAUCGUCAUCUCGGCGCAAAAACUGUAUGCAUGUUUGUGCUUCUUUACUUCAAUGAGCCCACAUUUGGCGCUGAGGUGACAUUAUAAUUCCAAAAAAAAACCUAAUACCUCCUCAUCGGUAACACUACUUAUUUACGUUGCUUACAGUUAAGCAUGAUAAAAAAAUAUGGAAUAAAAAUCUUGAUAAAAUUUAUUGUACUUACGUUUUCCAAGUCUGAAUAAACCAUACCACAGAA